UACGUAGGGGGCAAGCGUUGUCCGGAAUUAUUGGGCGUUAAGGGUACGUAGGCGGAUCAUUAAGUCUAUUGUGAAAGGCAGGGGCUCAACCCCUGUAAGCAGUAGAAACUGGUGACCUUGAGUGAUAGAGGGGACAGUGGAAUUCCUAGUGUAGCGGUGAAAUGCUUAGAGAUUAGGAGGAAUACCGGUGGCGAAGGCGACUGUCUGGAUAUCAACUGACGCUGAGGUACGAAAGCGUGGGGAGCUAACA
rnacentral:rRNA from 1 species